rnacentral:ncRNA from 1 species
GGUUCCGGGGGUCACCUUCCGGAUUAAAAGGGAACGCGGUGAGAUUUAAACGAUCAAUUCCGUGGCUGUCCCCGCAACUGUAAGCGAUUAGCUGUAUCACAACGCCACUGUGCAAACGGGAAGGCAGGUGCAAGUGUCAUUCGCAAGCCAGGAGACCUGCCGUCAAAA